CGGUAUGGUACCGGUAACGGUUCAGGGAAUAUACGACUAGAAGAAGAUCAGACACAUGAAAAGGCAAUGUUUUCAGACUACUGGCAAAAAUAAACAUCAAGCGUUUGCUCUUGAUUGAAGAGCUGCAUGGGAUUUGUCGCUGUCGAGGAGGCUAGUGUCGUCAGCAAACAAUUUGGUUGAGAGCGAAGAGCAGUGAACUAUGUCAUUGACAUAUACUAGGAAAAAUAAUGGGCCCAAUAUACUACCUUGUGGAACUCCGUGAGUCACUGAUUUGAAGAGGGG